rnacentral:lncRNA from 1 species
GCAUACAUACGUAACCCAUGGUCGGCAUGGAAUUUUGUCACUUGGCACAGUACUUUAAUGUUUUUUAAUGUUUGUCCCACAUUAAAAUAUAUUGAGUCAAUGACAGUGCAACUGUUCAUAUUAAAACGUUCUAAUCACAUUUUACAUGCACAUUUGUAUUCAGUAGUAAUCUUUUCAUAAAGGUACAUCAAAGUCCCAAAUCAAAUUCUUCACUGACAGUAGUGACAGUAUGUUAUUGACUCCCAAACGACAAAUAUUAUAAAACACGCUUCCAAGCUGAAAAGAAAUAUUUACUGUUGUCAGUCAGUGUUUAGACUCUUCUCUUUGAAUCUUGAUCUUCCACAAGUAUUGCUGUUGAUUAUAUUCCAUAUUUUCUUGAAGAACAUCGCAGACUAUAUAUUUACAGUAUUUCCACUGUCAGUUGAAAAGUUUAUCAUCAUAGUUUCAGUCUCUGGUUUCAGUCGGAAAAGGUUAAUUCUAUCGC